rnacentral:lncRNA from 1 species
GAUUUUAGAGCUUAAGUUUUCAGGAAAGAUACAAGAAUCUCUGAAUUUUUGUCUUGGUUUCCCUAGUUUUUGAUUUAGCCCCAACUUCAAAAGUCUUGUCCAGUUCAUCAACCCCUAACUAAAAGCAGGUUGGCUUCUUUAGUUCCUUUUGUUUUGUGUCUUGGGUCAUAGAACCUGGCUAAGUCAGAUUCCGGUGACAUAUUUGCACAGGUCUUAUAGCUCCUGAUCCACACUCUGAGAACACAGACCUUGCUUGCCAGAUUCACUAACAUGGCUGUUGUGUCAUGAAGAUAAGGCCCUUCAGUUUGUACCAUUCAAACAAAUCCUACUUUCUCUGUUCACAGAAAAUCAGAUGUGCUUGGUUCAGUUUCUUCUUUCCUUUCACAGGAUCAACAUACUCUCUUGGUAAAAUAUCAAGGAUUGGUUGUGAAACAGUUAGUCAGUCAAAAUAAGAAGAGUGGACAGGGAGAGGAUCCGUCAAGCGAUGACUUAGACAAGGAACAACAUGACGUCACCAAUACUACUCGGAAGGAGCUUCAGGAACUGUCUUUAUCCAUUAAGGACCUUGUUCUGAAGCCCAGGAAAUCAUCUGUGA